UGGCGCAGCCAUUAUUGGACUACUCAGACUAUCCUUGACCAUGAAGUGUGCAGUUCACUUGAUUGUAAACUCAUUGCUGUGAUGUUCUGUCUCACUACAAGCCCAAAGACAACAAGGUCAACUAACCAUGGACUUAAAUCUCUGAAACUGACCUCAGCUCAAGGGAUGGAUGGUGCCACCUGUGUUCAGGGUGGGUCUUCUCUGCUCUCUUAAAGCUUUUGGAAAACAUCCUCAAAGACACACCCAGAACUGUGUUUCCAUGGUGAUUCUAAAUCCCAUCAAGUUGACCAUGAAGAUUAACUAUCACAGAGUGUGCUCUUAAUUACACUGGGAUAACUGGCAUGAACUAAACAAUCAACUCAUUUCAAGUGUUUCUUUGGAGACUAUAGUGUGGGAACUGUUGCCCAAGCCUCAACUCUUUGAUGGUAGAAACCAGGUGUCUUUCCCCUUUCCCUAAACUGCACAGCAAAGACACAGCUCUGAACUGAGGGUUGAGCAGGCAGCUACAGCGAUGCCCUUGGGCUGAGAAGAAGCCAAAGGUACUCAAGGGAGUAAGGGCAAGGGUAGCCAGCCCUGGCAAGCAGUGGCCUCCUGCCGCCUUAGGAGACAUUGGCUAUGCCAACCAUGAACGAAGCUGCAAAGAACUCAUGCCGGUGUGCCCUCUAGCUAUCCUUCAAGGUUUGAGCUCUUUUCCCUCCUAGAUGAGCUUUUAAAUAAUAUCCCACAUUAAUCACAGAAGCAAUGCCUCAUAUUUAACAGUGAGGAAGAACCUCUGUGUUAUUAGGCACCUGGUGCUAACAAUAAUGGUCUAGCAUGUACCAGUACUCUGUAGUCUGAUCAGAUGCUCAGGGCAUCUAUGCCUGUGGCUGGGCUUGUGUUUUCUUCUAAGGAACUUACUUUCUGUUCAGUUCACUUUUCCUUUUAAUUCACAGUCAUAGAAAAGCACCUAGUUCCAUUAAAGCCAUUUCUGAGACCCUUGAAUCAAAGUGAGCUUUGAAAUUACAACUGAAAUGCUAGUCCCCAACCUAUCUCACCAGGUUCCUAGAGACUUAAUCAGACACUGUCUAGACGUGUGGUUUCACAGUUUCCUAAUUAACAUUAAUCCAGCAGGUCACAGAAUCUUGGCGUGAGCACACACAGAUUCUUUUCCUUGUUUCUCUGCCGAUGCUCUGGUCACACACUUACUUUGUAUGCAUGAGACAAGCUCAUACAUCAUUAUGUAGAUGAAUAAUAAGCCUUCUGAUUUUAAUAUAACUCAUAGAAUCUUGGAAUUUUGUAAAGUGUAAUCUGCUUUAUCACAUUUAGUAUGUGUGUAUGUGUACACAUGCACAUGUGAAUGCCACGUGUUAACAUGUGUGUAAUCAGAAAACAACUUGCUAGAGUUGGUUUUCUCUUUCUAUUCUAUGAGAUCCAGGGAUAGAACUGAGGUUAAG